CAGGCCUGGGCCAAGGACAGGAGCUCCCGGCAGCAGCGCUCCCAGGGCCAGCAGGGCCACAACCAGGGGACAUCCCGCCCUGGGGCCACCACCGGCUCUCUGGGGACAUGGAAGGAAUGUCACCUUCAGUGUGGCUGCCAUGGACAGGGAAGGAGCCGCCAGCAGCAGGAGUGCUGGCACAGCCGUGGGAGCUCCCAGGCCAUGGAGGUCACCUGUGUCCCCAGGGCUGCGAGGGGACCAGAAAGGGGAACUGCCCUGCAAGGGGCUGGCGGGGCAGCCUCUGAGGAGGAGCCAGGAGGGGACACGAGAGCUGGGAUCUGGUGCCAGGCCCUGGAGCCAAGGGGACAGAGCCAGGUACGGGGCUCCAGGGAUGGCUCCUGCACCCAGGCUGGAGCAGGAGGUGGCCCUGGAAGGCCAGGAGGGGAUGGGCGCCCUGAGGGCAGAGCUGGGGGUGUGGGUGACGGUGUCCCUGGCACAGGA